rnacentral:lncRNA from 1 species
AUUAAAGGUAGAGGUGGGGCUGGGACAUGGGAAGUAGCCUGAUUCCAAGAUUAAUAGUAUCACUGGUAAUUCUCUGUCCCCCUGAGGUUCUGCCCUGUUUUUCAGGAGGUGACAAACAUUCUGGGCCCAGAUGAACAUGUGCAGAAGAGCCAACAGGUGCAUUUGGUUCUGUUUGGCUCCACUGGGGUAUUUGGUUUCAUUAUUUCCAGCACAGACAUGCUGGAUACAUUCCUCACAGGUGAGACGCGAAAACUCGGUAAAGACAUCGAGUCAGCAAAUAGCCUUAAGUUUGCUAUGAGCUACAUGGAGCAAGGGGAAUUUGUUUUCAAAUGCACCACAUUACACUAGGGAGUCCUCAUUUUACAGGAAAUCUUGAAUGUGACCCUAUAUUCAGAGGGACAUUAAUUGGCUGCACUUUCAAACCCCUCGGGCACCUGGGAAUUAAGUAGUUGAUAAUUAUUAGAUCACUCCAGCCUUCCAAGAAACUAGUGGAGGAUUCUGUAUCUUCUCAGAUCAAUGCACUGACAAGAAAGGGCCUGAUGCUUCUCUCCCACCACUAGACUCUUGAUUUCAGUUAGGUCACUCCUGCUUGACACUGAUCUCAGUGAAAGCAGAGUUGGGUCCCCAGAGCAGAAAGAUGGGAGGGAAGUGCCUUUACAUUGUCAUGGGGUAGGUGUUGUCUGACGCUGCCUCUUUGGCAUGUGUUCUUCUGGCAAUGCUCCUACUCCUGUCCUCUUUUUCUCCAUUGCCUGCCCCAGGAGAUUUGUGGCUGGAUCUGCCAUUGCAGAGAGUUCGGUGUGGCAAGCAGACUGCCUCCUCCAAGGAUACCCAUCCCUUACCCUGCAUCCCCAACCCUAUUGUGUGUUUGAAUGUGGGAGAUACCAUCCUUUUCCAGCUCACCAUCCAUCCCCGCAGUUUGCCCAUGUUUUCCUAGAUCCUGGGAGAUACGUUUUCAGGGAUAGCACCGUCCAGGAGCGUAUCUUGAUUGUGGCUGUAAAUGAGGAGAACAUGGGCUGUGACCCUGUCAAUGCUUCCUUCCAGCCCUCCUCUCCAUACCAGCUGGCCAGACAUGGCGUUCUGAAACAUCAUGCGCUAAAUUUAGCUCCUGACUGGGCAACUAUCUCAGCAGUGCUCUUUGUCCUGGGCUUCUUGAUGGUUGUGCUGAUGACCCUGGCUAUCAUGCUGAGGCCCCCCAUUUUUAGCCCCAGUCCCAUGAACAACUGGAAGCCACGGUGGAGGAGCCUGAGUGAGCCACACAUCCCACCUGAGUACAUCUUCAUUAAAGACAGCCUUCAGUUCUAUGAAGCCCUUGGUCCCCGGGGUUCUGGAAGAGGAGCUGAUGCUGGAGAGAAAGGAGUUAUCCAUGGUCCAGGCCAGCAGCCCGCACUGAGGGACCUGGAAGAUUUCAGCGUCCGCACCCUAUAUGAUAAACUGGAGGACCAAAACCUUCACCUGGCUUCUCAGAUGGCAAAACACAGGGUGGAUGUGUUGGCCUUUUACAGGGCGAUCAGCCAGAGGAUCCAGGGUCUGAUGGACAUGGUGCAAACUCUGGACUCUGAAGGGCUGAAAGGCCUCUCCAGGCAAAGCAUCUCAGUGCAUAGAACCCAGGGGAGCACCCAGGCGGCCAUGGGCAUUGGGCGAAAUGACGAAUUGACCAGCAGAGACUUUCAAGCAAUGGGCCACACAGGUGCUGAGUGGCGAGAGGCAACAGAGUUAAUGAAAGCUCUGAAAAUCCUACUUGGUAAAGUCCAUUAUGAGAAGACAAUUGUGAAGCAAGAGCCAUCACAGCACAUACAGGGACAGGAUAGGACCGCAGAAUCCAGCCUGGCCAGUCAAAGGAAAGCAGGAGCAGAGGGAGGGCAGGAUCCUGGCGGGCUCCAGCACUACGGAUGCUCCAAUAAGAAAGGCCCCUUUGUCACCUGCGAAGAACAAGGUCUAGGUCCUCAGCCUGGGAGGGCCAUGCUGGUCUGUCUGACUGAGCUUGAGGUGGAGAGUCUGAUGGCAACUUCCCCCCUUGCCAGGACCCUGCGUGAGAUCAGGCAGGCUUUGGAG